rnacentral:rRNA from 2 species
UGGAUCCAGACUUUGAUUCUGGCUCAGGAUGAACGCUAGCUACAGGCUUAACACAUGCAAGUCGAGGGGAAACGAUAGAGAAAGCUUGCUUUUUCUAGGCGUCGACCGGCGCACGGGUGAGUAACGCGUAUCCAACCUGCCCAUCACUUGGGGAUAACCUUGCGAAAGUAAGACUAAUACCCAAUGACGUCUCUAGAAGACAUCUGAAAGAGAUUAAAGAUUUAUCGGUGAUGGAUGGGGAUGCGUCUGAUUAGCUUGUUGGCGGGGUAACGGCCCACCAAGGCGACGAUCAGUAGGGGUUCUGAGAGGAAGGUCCCCCACAUUGGAACUGAGACACGGUCCAAACUCCUACGGGAGGCAGCAGUGAGGAAUAUUGGUCAAUGGGCGAGAGCCUGAACCAGCCAAGUAGCGUGCAGGAUGACGGCCCUAUGGGUUGUAAGCUGCUUUUAUAAGGGAAUAAAGUGAGUCUCGUGAGACUUUUUGCAUGUACCUUAUGAAUAAGGACCGGCUAAUUCCGUGCCAGCAGCCGCGGUAAUACGGAAGGUCCGGGCGUUAUCCGGAUUUAUUGGGUUUAAAGGGAGCGUAGGCCGGAGAUUAAGCGUGUUGUGAAAUGUAGACGCUCAACGUCUGCACUGCAGCGCGAACUGGUUUCCUUGAGUACGCACAAAGUGGGCGGAAUUCGUGGUGUAGCGGUGAAAUGCUUAGAUAUCACGAAGAACUCCGAUUGCGAAGGCAGCUCACUGGAGCGCAACUGACGCUGAAGCUCGAAAGUGCGGGUAUCGAACAGGAUUAGAUACCCUGGUAGUCCGCACGGUAAACGAUGGAUGCCCGCUGUUGGUCUGAAUAGGUCAGCGGCCAAGCGAAAGCAUUAAGCAUCCCACCUGGGGAGUACGCCGGCAACGGUGCAACUCAAAUGAAUUGACGGA